rnacentral:rRNA from 1 species
AGAGUUUGAUCCUGGCUCAGGAUGAACGCUAGCGACAGGCUUAACACAUGCAAGUCGAGGGGCAGCAUAAAAGUAGCAAUACUUUGGUGGCGACCGGCGCACGGGUGAGUAACGCGUAUGCAACCUACCUAUCAGAGGGGAAUAACCCGGCGAAAGUCGGACUAAUACCGCAUAAAACAGGGGCACCGCAUGGUGAUAUUUGUUAAAGAAAUUCGCUGAUAGAUGGGCAUGCGUUCCAUUAGGUAGUUGGUGAGGUAACGGCUCACCAAGCCGACGAUGGAUAGGGGAACUGAGAGGUUGGUCCCCCACACUGGUACUGAGACACGGACCAGACUCCUACGGGAGGCAGCAGUGAGGAAUAUUGGUCAAUGGGCGAGAGCCUGAACCAGCCAAGUCGCGUGAAGGAAGAAGGAUCUAUGGUUCGUAAACUUCUUUUGCAGGGGAAUAAAGUGCAGGACGUGUCCUGUUUUGUAUGUACCCUGAGAAUAAGGAUCGGCUAACUCCGUGCCUGCAGCCGCGGUAAUACGGAGGAUCCGAGCGUUAUCCGGAUUUAUUGGGUUUAAAGGGUGCGUAGGUGGUUUGAUAAGUCAGCGGUGAAAGUUUGCAGCUUAACUGUAAAAAUGCCGUUGAAACUGUCGGACUUGAGUGUAAAUGAGGUAGGCGGAAUGCGUGGUGUAGCGGUGAAAUGCAUAGAUAUCACGCAGAACUCCGAUUGCGAAGGCAGCUUACUAAGCUACAACUGACACUGAAGCACGAAAGCGUGGGGAUCAAACAGGAUUAGAUACCCUGGUAGUCG